rnacentral:siRNA from 1 species
ACCAAUCUCGGGAUCGGCAGCCA